AGAAAGCCAAGGAAGGGGAUACGCCCCAGUCAAAGGGCGCAAGAUCAGGAGCCGAAGAGGAGGCAGGCCCACCUCCUAUCCCAGCUGCAGUAUUUCUAAAGCUGCGGGAAGAGAACGAAAAAAAUAAGCGGGAACUCGAGGCAGCACGACUGGCCCUGAGGGAAGCAGCAAACGAUCGCACAGAGUUGCACCGGC